AAUCUACUCCCUCCGUUUCGAAUUACUUGUCUUGAAUUUGUCUAGAUACGGAGGUAUCUAGCACUAAAAUGAGUCUAGAUACAUACGUAUCUAGUCUAGCAUUAAAAUACGUAUCAGGUAUCUAGCACUAAAAUCAGUCUAGAUACAUCCGUAUCUAGACAAAUCCAAAACAAGUAAUUCGGAACAGAGGGAGUAAAAC
rnacentral:pre_miRNA from 1 species